rnacentral:rRNA from 1 species
AUACCAGCUCUCCGAGUGGUAGGGGUGAUUAUUGGGCUUAAAGCGUCCGUAGCCGGCCUGGCAAGUCUUCCGUUAAAUCCAGCAACCUAAUUGUUGGGCUGCGGGGGAUACUGUUAGGCUUGGGGGCGGGAGAGGCCGACGGUAUUCUCGGGGUAGGGGUGAAAUCUUAUAAUCCCGGGAGGACCACCAGUGGCGAAGGCUGUCGGCUAGCACGCGCCUGACGGUGAGGGACGAAAGCUGGGGGAGCGAACCGGAUUAGAUACCCGAGUAGUCC